UUUAAAUUGGAGGUUUUCAUAUGAGAAAUAAUUUAAAUUUUAUAAAUAUUUUUUUUUAAAUUAUUUUUUUCUUCCUCGUUUAAUCUUUUCAAAAUCAACAAAUCCUCUUUUGAGAAAGAGGUGGAAGAGAGUGAUACCUUAUCCUAAAGCCUUAACCUCAUUUCUAUUUAACAUUCCCUCUCAAAAGCAAAAUGGUUGCAGCCCUUGGCCGCCCCAACCUCACCUUUGCAUGUCGCUGCAGUUUCUCCUUCAUCACUCGGUGGUCCAAUUUCUCCGCUGCAGCUCUUCCACCGCAGUUGCUUCUCUCUCGGUCACGCCGCUGGCCUGCUGCUCCACCAUUGCCACUGGUUGUGAGUGUAAGCUUGAGGCAAAAGGCGGCGGAAGUUUCCUUGCUGUGUUUCCUUUGAACAUUCUGGAGUGUCGUCUGCACUGCCUUUCCCAUCUCAGCAUCUGAAAUCUUCCAAACCAUUUUCAAACGCAAUUAGAAUAUUAAAAUAAAAACGUGCAUAUAUACAAGUGCCUGCACGUGCUUUUUUCUACAUUUAUGCAGUGAUCAGUUUAAUUUUAAUAUUAAAAUCUUAAUUAAUAACUCAUUACGAACUAAA